UACGUAGGGGGCGAGCGUUGUCCGGAUUUAUUGGGCGUAAAGAGCUCGUAGGCGGCUUGGCAAGUCGGGUGUGAAACCUCCAGCUCAACCUGGAGACGCCACUCGAUACUGCCAUGGCUAGAGUCCGGUAGGGGACCACGGAAUUCCUGGUGUAGCGGUGAAAUGCGCAGAUAUCAGGAGGAACACCGGUGGCGAAGGCGGGUCUCUGGGCCUUACCUGACGCUGAGGAGCGAAAGCGUGGGGAGCAAACAGG
rnacentral:rRNA from 1 species